rnacentral:tRNA from 1 species
GCGGGCGUGGCGGAACUGGUAGACGCGCUGGAUUUAGGUUCCAGUGCCGCAAGGCGUGGGGGUUCGACUCCCUCCGCCCGCACCA